CAGCCGUAAACAAUGUGCGUUAGGUGUGUCGGUAACCACGCGUUACUGAUGCGCCGAAGAGAAAUCGUGAAACGCACCACCUGGGAAGUACGGUCGCAAGGCUGAAACUUAAAGGAAUUGGCGGGGGAGCACCACAACAGGUGGAGCCUGCGGUUUAAUUGGAUUCAACGCCGGACAUCUCACCGGAUAAGACAGCUGAAUGAUUGUCAAUCCGAAGGUUUUACAUGACUAGCUGAGAGGAGGUGCAUGGCGUCAGUGACU
rnacentral:rRNA from 1 species